rnacentral:rRNA from 1 species
GUCCACGCCGUAAACGAUGAUAACUAGCUGUCCGGGCACUUGGUGCUUGGGUGGCGCAGCUAACGCAUUAAGUUAUCCGCCUGGGGAGUACGGUCGCAAGAUUAAAACUCAAAGGAAUUGACGGGGGCCUGCACAAGCGGUGGAGCAUGUGGUUUAAUUCGAAGCAACGCGCAGAACCUUACCAGCGUUUGACAUCCCGCGCUACCCAGAGAGAUUUGGGGUUCCCUUCGGGGACGCGGUGACAGGUGCUGCAUGGCUGUCGU